rnacentral:misc_RNA from 1 species
CCGGACCGAAACCGUCCUUCUGCGAUUUGGUUCAGGUUCAUAUUUUUUAGGAACCUAAAAUAAUAACUGUUAUUAUUUGUUAAUAAAUUAGAGCAAGUCUGGCUUAGCUUCUGUUGCUGCUUUUGGCAACAGCAUUCUAGAGCUUGUUUUGAUGAAUUGCCUCUUUUGGGAGUUUUUUAUCAUAUUAAAAAUGCAUGUCAAAAGCAAGUGCAUCCAAGGAAAUGCUUUUGCCAAAGCUGCUGUAGGCCUAAACAAAACAAGCUUUGGUACUUUAGUUGUUGUAAUGAAUGGUGGAUGGUUGAUUAAUUGGCCUAGUCAAAAUAAUUGAAUAUGGUUUGUGCAAAGAAGGUAAAAAUAUCAGGAAGCAAGAAGACCAUAAUCCAUCUGUAUCUUGUUAUGACUUGUUAAACUAGUGGAUGGUCAUCCAUCUUACUUUUCUUACUACUUGUAAAACUAUAGUUUUUUUUUUAAUUUUUUUUUUUU